rnacentral:rRNA from 1 species
GCUUGUCUCAAAGAUUAAGCCAUGCAUGUCUAAGUAUAAACACCUUUAUACUGUGAAACUGCGUACAGCUCAUUAAAUCAGUAAUAAUUUAUUUGAUGGUGACUUACUACAUGGAUAACCGUAGUAACCUAGAGCUAAUACAUGCACAAAAUCCCGACUUCACGGAAGGGAUGUAUUUAUUAGAUACAAUCAAACGCACCAACAUAAAACCUUGGUGAUUCAUAAUAACUGUUCGGAUCGUAUGGCUUUUUGCCGACGACAGAUCAUUCAAAUUUCUGCCCUAUCAGCUUUCGACGGUACUGUAGUGGACUACCGUGGCAUUAACGGGUGACGGAGAAUUAGGGUUCGAUUCCGGAGAGGGAGCCUGAGAAAUGGCUACCACAUCCAAGGAAGGCAGCAGG